rnacentral:rRNA from 1 species
UACGUAGGCAGCGAGCGUUGUUCGGAAUUACUGGGCGUAAAGCGUGCGUAGACGGUUAUGUAAGUCGGGUGUGAAGGCCCCGGGCUCAACCUGGGAAUGCCAUUCGAGACUGCAUAGCUAGGGUGCGGAAGAGGGAAGCGGAAUUUCCGGUGUAGCGGUGAAAUGCGUAGAUAUCGGAAGGAACACCAGUGGCGAAAGCGGCUUCCUGGUCCAGCACCGACGUUCAGGCACGAAAGCGUGGGGAGCAAACAGG